AUACAGAGGGUGCAAGCGUUAAUCGGAAUUACUGGGCGUAAAGCGCGCGUAGGUGGUUAGUUAAGUUGGAUGUGAAAGCCCUGGGCUCAACCUGGGAAUGGCAUUCAAAACUGGCUGACUAGAGUAUGGUAGAGGGAAGGGGAAUUCCAGGUGUAGCGGUGAAAUGCGUAGAUAUCUGGAGGAACAUCAGUGGCGAAGGCGCCUUCCUGGACUAAUACUGACACUGAGGUGCGAAAGCGUGGGUAGCAAACAGGAUUAGAAACCCUGGUAGUCC
rnacentral:rRNA from 1 species